CCCGAGUUGUAAUUUGUAGAGGAUACUUUUGAUGCGGUGCCUUCCGAGUUCCCUGGAACGGGACGCCAUAGAGGGUGAGAGCCCCGUCUGGUUGGAUGCCAAAUCUCUGUAAAGUUCCUUCGACGAGUCGAGUAGUUUGGGAAUGCUGCUCUAAAUGGGAGGUAUAUGUCUUCUAAAGCUAAAUACCGGCCAGAGACCGAUAGCGCACAAGUAGAGUGAUCGAAAGAUGAAAAGCACUUUGAAAAGAGAGUUAAAAAGUACGUGAAAUUGUUGAAAGGGAAGCGUUUAUGACCAGACUUGGGCUUGGUUAAUCAUCUGGGGUUCUCCCCAGUGCACUUUUCCAGUCCAGGCCAGCAUCAGUUUUCCCCGGGGGAUAAAGACUUCGGGAAUGUGGCUCUCUUCGGGGAGUGUUAUAGCCCGUUGUGUAAUACCCUGGGGGG
rnacentral:rRNA from 1 species